CUGGAAGCAUCAGAGGCAGAGUGUUGACUGAUGUAGACAGCUGGACAUGGCUUUUUUAAUCCGUCUAAAUAGGAUCUGCCCAAAUGCAGGCUUUUCUCCUGAACAGCAGGCCCAACACUGAGGUGGUGACAGCCAGACGACAGCAUGAGACCACAACACUCGCAGAUGACACCGCGGAUGUCUGUCUGUCUGUCUGUGGGUGUGAAAGAGAGCCCUAUGCGCUCGCAUCCGCGUGAGGCAGGAAAGGGAGAAAGUCAAAAACUUAAACACGCAGUCAAAAUAUCAAAAGUUUUCCAAACAAAAUGCCAGAUGAACUCUGUACUUUUGUCUUCAGAUUUCCAUCGAAAGCCGGUCAUCAGCUGUGAGGAGUGUUGUGCGUUCAGCACGGGGCGAGUCUGGUGCAAACAUCCUCCUCUGUCUUCAGCACCCGUUUACAAUCAGACGCAUUAAUAGUGAAGUAUGCCAGUGAGCUACGUUGUCCACGAGGACUCAGCAGUCGUCACCACCCAGUGAUGUGCAGUGAGGAGCGUUUGAACUGACAAGACUCCCAAAUCAAAGCGUGAUCAUGCGCAGCACGACAACGCAAAGGAACCCGCUGAAUGAAAUCAGACUGUUCGGUUCUCCAGUCUCAGGUGUGGUUUCACAUCGCUUUAACCUCACCCGGCGCCCCAGCUAUCUCAUUUCGACAGACGUUUGGGACGAGAAGCUCAUCAACUUUUACUGUGACAUCUGCCAGAGAAGAAAGUGUGGAAACAGACAGAAAAAAAUGUUCAGCUGCUCCUCCUCCCAGGCCUUUUGUCUCUGUCAGAACUUCAUUGAUUUUUCUGCUGAAUUUAUAGACAGCUUGUAAUAUCGUUAGGAGGCGGAGCUCACAGCGUUUUGGGUUUGCGUGUUGAUGUGUGUGUGUGUGUAUAUUGACAGAUGGUUGUCAUUGUAUGAGAGCUAGUUUGCACAUUCAUGUAAUGGAGGCAGAGAAACGCAGCAAACAUAUGUAGUGGACAGCAGGGACUCGUUGACUGGAACUAAAGGAUGCACGUUCAUAACACACGCCAAACACACUUUGACUGCAUCCAUUACAUACGUGCUGUAUAGUAAAGUAUGUGCAGCAUGUCAGUGUUGUCGUUUGGGGCUCUCAUGCGUAAAUCUGCGUUACCUUUUCACUGUACGCAUUUUGUAUGAAAUGAAAUAUUUAUGUAAUUAAUGAUCACCGUGUCAACACAGGACCUAACGGACCUUGAGAGAGGGUUAGAGUCCAACAAAGAUUGGCAUCGCAAAGAGACACAUUAAUGAGUAAACGUCUGAAGGCAACUGAAAGUGUUGACCAAAGAACUGACACAGACAUGACAUCAUAAGAGUUGGAGAGACUCAUGCGAGACCAACUCACUCUUUAUCACUCUUUAUGUGUAUUUGUCACUGUGUGUGUGUGUGUGUGUCUGUGUGUGAAGACCGUGGCCCCUCUGCUGGCCCCGCCUCUCCAUGCGCAGCCGCCUAACCGUUCCUGACAGCCAGUGGCUCAUUAGAGCUGCUGUUCAAUGUUCCUACCUCCAUCCACUCGCUCCCUGUUUCCUGGACCCAGCCCCCCAAACAAUAUGUGUGUGUGUGUGUGUGUCAGCUGGCUGCACCCAGGCCAGAGAGCCGGGACAGGCGGG
ensembl:lncRNA